CGGAGUCUGCUUUGGCGGCGUGACUGCCUUCAGGGGUGGGGGGUCGCAGUGCGUGGAGCACAGCGUCAUUAUACAAUCCUCAAAAAUUUAAGAAGUCCAAAUCUGUGGAACCCGGAGGUUUUUUGGAGCGUCGGUGGACUUUGUACUGCGCGGGGGGCGACGCUGUGCCAGCUGCAGGUGUAACUGAUGCUACGCAGAUGCCAGCUUCUGCUGGGCUGCCAGUUACGACCCUACAGCCAGGAAUAGAAGGU